UUUUUUUUCUUAAAUGAAGUGAAUCAUUUUUUAAGUCGCUGUAUGUUAACUUCCGUUCGAUCCCUCUGCAGCAGUUUAUGUAGCCCAUGUUGGAGGGCUGGGUCCUCAAAGUGCCUGUGUCCACGCCCAGGGUGCAUGUGUCUGACGGAGGGGGGACCCCAAGGAAAAUGCUGUUCCCCGGAGGUGGGGAAGGUGGACCCAGUGGCCAGGGAUCCCCCCAACUUGGCCGCACCUUGGAAUCGUGGGGGAGAUGGAGGGUAACGAUUGGCGUGGUCACCCGACGCUCUAUUGGUCCCUGUGUGGGCCUGGGAACCUGCAUUGUAGAAUCUCCCCAGGUGAUUCUAACGAGCCGCCAAGUUGGCGAGCGGCUGAGCGGCCUCGGAGAGUGCCUCGGGGACAAAGCCCUUACAAAUCCUGCUAUUAUCCCAAUCAUCGUAAUAGUAAUUAUUACUAUUAUCUCGGCUGAGAAAAUUGAGGCUCAGACAAGUCAACUGGUCCAGCCAAUCUGGGCUGAGCACAGGGCUUCUGUGAUUCCGAAUCCCCAGGCAAAGAUGGAAGCUAUUUCAACUUCGCCAAACUUGACCUUUACCUGUGCCUGUGAUUGGGCAGGAACCUGUUUCACCUGGAGCACUCAUUUAAAGGCAGGUUGCGGCCCGCCUCAGGUUGCUAAUUUAGAAGAGACUCUGCAUUUCUCCCGUGGGCCCAGGGGCUGCUGAUGCUACUGGUCCAGGACUCUGAACUGCUGUCCUAAUUGGCAUUCGCAACGGCCUUGAGCGCAAGAGAGAGACGGAAGAGGAGCGUGGGGCUCGGAGAGCAGAGGCUACUGCCCGAGGCCAUGCAGCUAGACAAUGGCAGACGCAGGACUGGAACCCAGGCCCAGUCGCUCCCGGAACCCACUAACCACAGCCAGCGAUUCUACACAGGACCCUACUCAGAAGGGGACCCCAGCCCCCAGCACAGCACCUGCACUAGGUAGACACUUCUGCACAUCUGGGGACAGGAGUCAGGAGGAAGGGAAUGAAGGAGUG